rfam:Vibrio sp. qd031 contig_85, whole genome shotgun sequence.
GUUUAGUUUAGUAAUAUCAGGGUCCAGCAACAAAAACCCCGACUUUUCGGGGUUUUUUGUUAUUUGAGAUUUAUCUACGUGGAUACUCUCAAAUAGUGUGCUAGGUAUUAAAUUGGGCUUUAGGCCCUUUUUUU